AAGGUGAGGGCGCUCGCGAGGAGGUACCUGUAAUACGGGCAUAUGCUGGGGUUUCAUCGUAAAGCAGGCACGCCGAUUUUUUUGUGCCAUCAUCAUCUGAUAACACAUACGUCUAAUUUUUCUUGGCGUUGGCUUUGUUAUGACCGACCUAUGGAUCAUUUUUUUUUUCGAGAACAAAAUGACUUGUCUAAUUUUUCUUGGCGUUGGCUUUGUUAUGACCGACCUAUGGAUCAUUUUUUUUUCGAGAACAAAAUGACUUGGCGAUAAUGUUCAAACUUUAAUUGAUUGUGUCGUGCAUCGCAGAUGUCUUAAUCUUUAGGCCAUGUUCGUCUGAUCCUAAAACCAUAGGGAUUGAGGGAGAUUGGAAGAGAUUGG
rnacentral:lncRNA from 1 species